rnacentral:rRNA from 1 species
AAAAUGACUCUCGGCAACGGAUAUCUCGGCUCUCGCAUCGAUGAAGAACGUAGCAAACUGCGAUACGUGGUGUGAAUUGCAGAAUCCCGUGAACCAUCGAGUCUUUGAACGCAAGUUGCGCCCGAAGCCAUUAGGCCGAGGGCACGUCUGCCUGGGCGUCACGC